rnacentral:rRNA from 1 species
UACAGAGGGUGCAAGCGUUAAUCGGAAUUACUGGGCGUAAAGCGUGCGUAGACGGUUACAUAAGUCGGAUGUGAAAGCCCCGGGCUCAACCUGGGAAUUGCAUUCGAGACUGCGUAGCUAGGGUGCGGAAGAGGGAAGCGGAAUUUCCGGUGUAGCGGUGAAAUGCGUAGAUAUCGGAAGGAACACCAGUGGCGAAGGCAGCUCGCUGGCCUGUAACUGACGCUGAGACGCGAAAGCGUGGGGAGCAAACAGG